rnacentral:rRNA from 1 species
CGAACGGGUGAGUAAUGCGUGACCAACCUGCCCCAUGCUCCAGAAUAGCUCUUGGAAACGGGUGGUAAUGCUGGAUGCUCCAACUUGACGCAUGUCUUGUUGGGAAAGUGUUUAGUGGCAUGGGAUGGGGUCGCGUCCUAUCAGCUUGUAGGCGGGGUAAUGGCCCACCUAGGCUUCGACGGGUAGCCGGCCUGAGAGGGCGGACGGCCACAUUGGGACUGAGGUACGGCCCAGACUCCUACGGGAGGCAGCAGUA